UGGGCAUGCGGCGCAUUAGCUAGACGGCGGGGUAACGGCCCACCGUGGCGACGAUGCGUAGGGGUUCUGAGAGGAGGGUCCCCCACACUGGUACUGAGACACGGACCAGACUCCUACGGGAGGCAGCAGUGAGGAAUAUUGGUCAAUGGGAGAGAUCCUGAACCAGCCAAGCCGCGUGAGGGAAGACGGCCCUAUGGGUUGUAAACCUCUUUUGUCGGAGAACAAAACCCGGGACGUGUCCCGGACUGCGUGUAUCCGAAGAAAAAGCAUCGGCUAACUCCGUGCCAGCAGCCGCGGUAAUACGGAGGAUGCGAGCGUUAUCCGGAUUUAUUGGGUUUAAAGGGUGCGUAGGCGGUCCGUUAAGUCAGCGGUAAAAUUGCGGGGCUCAACCCCGUCGAGCCGUUGAAACUGGCAGGCUUGAGUUGGCGAGAAGUACGCGGAAUGCGCGGUGUAGCGGUGAAAUGCAUAGAUAUCGCGCAGAACUCCGAUUGCGAAGGCAGCGUACCGGCGCCAGACUGACGCUGAGGCACGAAAGCGUGGGGAUCGAACAGGAUUAGAUACCCUGGUAGUCCACGCAGUAAACGAUGAAUGCUGGUUGUCCGGGUCGAAUGAGAUCUGG
rnacentral:rRNA from 1 species